rnacentral:rRNA from 2 species
GAUGAACGCUGGCGGCGCGCCUAACACAUGCAAGUCGAACGGUUAAAGCACCUUUUAGGUGUGUAUAAAGUGGCGAACGGCUGAGUAACACGUGGGCAACCUGCCCUCCUCUUGGGGAUAGCCUCGGGAAACCGAGGAUAAUACCCGAUACUUCAAUGUGGCCGCAUGACGACAUUGAGAAAGCUUUUGCGGAGAAGGAUGGGCCCGCGGCCUGUUAGCUUGUUGGUGGGGUAGAGGCCUACCAAGGCAAUGAUGGGUAGCUGGGUUGAGAGACCGACCAGCCAGAUUGGGACUGAGACACGGCCCAGACUCCUACGGGAGGCAGCAGUGGGGAAUCUUGCACAAUGGGCGAAAGCCUGAUGCAGCGACGCCGCGUGCGGGAAGAAGGCCUUCGGGUUGUAAACCGCUUUCAGCAGGGACGAGGCGAAAGUGACGGUACCUGCAGAAGAAGCCCCGGC